rnacentral:tRNA from 2 species
GCCCCGGUGGUGUAGCCCGGCUAGCAUACCGGCCUGUCGAGCCGGUGGACCCGGGUUCAAAUCCCGGCCGGGGCG